CAUCCAUCAAACCAAUCCCUAUGUGUAACCCGAAAAAUCUGACUCAAAAGCUUCUUCCCCCAAAUCAAGAUUCCGCUCAAAAGCACGAAUGGAAAUUCGAAACCCGUGCUUUCUCCACCAAAAUCAGAUUAAUAUUCCUCUUUCUUGCUCCAUCCUUAACCCACGCUUAGGUCUCGACAUAGUUUCCGAUCCUCACGUAUGAACAAUCACAUAACCAACAACAAUGAACGCGAUACUCACCUCGACGUCCGGUAUGGUCUUCAGCUCUUGGUUGAUCAGGAUCUGUGUGCGGGCGUGACGUUAUCGUUGAAGAGCAAAUGAUGGUUCGUUGUCGAUUAAGGAUGAAGGAGAUGGAUUCUUUCGGGUGCGCCUCCGUCGUCGAAUACAGAUGAAGUUGGAGGCCCGUUGAUUUCGCAACGAGGGAUGACGGAACCUCGGCGUUACGAAGAAUCCGAUAGUUAUCGCGUAGUGAAGCGUUGUUGAUGAACGAUGAAGAAUUAAAUCGUUCCCUCGUUCUUCUUGAACCCUCGAUUAUUAGAAGGUGUUUUCACCAAAUGGAAGGUUUCCUUUGGAUUCUGUUUGUAAGGUGAAGGGUGAAGCCGCGUGAGAAGAAGAGUGGAGAGAAGAUGGAUAAUGAGGUCGAAGAAAUUGGUUAUGGAGGACGACGAAGGGUGAAUGAAGUUAGAAGUUUGAGACGAUGAAGUUGUGAAUUGUUGAAUGAUGGUGAAGAUGAUGGAGCCCUUGAAUUGAAGAUGGAGGAUGGUUCUUAUAGGAGAGUAAGGUUAGAGAGAUGGUUGGUUAUGACAGUUGGAAGUAGUUAGAGUCUGUUGAAUUCUGUUAGAGUUUGGUUUGAGUUUGUUUUGACAGUUAGAUUUCUGUUAUUUCGGUUGGUUAAGAGGUUUGUUAGGGAGGUGGAAUUUCUGUUAUAAAGUUAGUUUGCAGUUUUCCCCUGAUUCUGUUAUGUGCUGUUUUCUUUUAUGCAGGUUUUGUUAGAAGGUUUGGUUGAAGCGGCUUAUUUUGAAGUCAGUUGUGUGAAAACAGUUAGGGUGGUUAGGAUUGAAGGAUUCAAUUAUUCUAUUAUAUGAGUUUUGGUUAUGAUGAAUCAAUUAGGAGUUGGAGGAUGAUGUCAGGUGAAGAUGAGACCUUGAUUUCAUCACAGGUUUUUAUGGAAGUUGGGAAGCGGAAAAACCAGAUUCUGUUAGAGGCCUUUUUGAAGGUUAAAAGGUUCCUUCUCCAUUUCUGUUGAAGGUUGUCGGUUCAAUGAAGAGCCACCCCUUUUCGUUUUUUGUAGGAUGUAUUAGAAGGAGUCUUGUUGACCGUUAGAAGCUGGUUGGAGAUUUCAAUUCCGUCGGCCGUUGAUGACAGUUGGCGACAGUUGGAAUCGGUUAGGCGGUUAGGACGGUUAAAGAGGUUGGUUAGAAUUCUGUUUUGGAUUCUGAACCGAAUUCUAUUAGGAGGUUAUGGUUCUGUUUUUUUAUAUGGAGGAAUCAGGUUCAGGUACAUGUUGUGACAUUGAGAGAACAUCGGUAGCGUGAUCUUCAUCUCCCACACUUUAUUAAGUUUUCGUAUAGACUCAUCAUCACAAAGAAACAGGGAUAACUCAACACUUUGAAACCCCACCAACAUCGCCCAUAGCAGUAUCUCUAGUUUUAUAUUCAGAGUCUUUCAAAACAUUAAAUGCCGGUUUUAUUGCAAUUGGAAGCAACUCUGCAAUAUUCAAGAUUUCAGGAUCAUCUGGAAAAUCUUCUUGGAGACAGAGGGAUCUUAAGAAACCUUGAAUGCUUCGGUUUCUUCUUAAACGGUUUUAGAGGUCUCGACUUCAGCGGGUUUCUCAAGUCUCAAUUUUGCAGGUGAAUUCGUUGGAGACUUCUACGGCGUAACAAUAGGGGAAUCUGGCGGUAACUUAAUACACGGUGGAUUGGAAUGUUUUGGAUUGGCUUGUGAUGUUCGCUGUUGGAUUUUUUCCGCAUUAUAUGUCAGUUAUACGCAUAGCAUGGUUUGAAGUGGUGUUAACUUGCAAUGUCGGAUAAUUGACCAGAGCAUUCAAUAAUGGUUUGUACUUGAAGAAGCAAUCAUCACAGGUCCAAAGUGGAAGAAAGAGGGCUUGUAUGAGAGUAAAAUAGGGAUUCAUGGUUAUAGUUGGAAUUAGGUUUAUUAUUGUAAUGAAAGAAUAGAAAUUGAAUGUGAUUGUUAUGAAUUUGAAAUAUUUUAUAAUUUUGAAUGGUAAAGGUAUGGAAGAUGAAAUGGUUUAUUGGAAAUGAACAUGAAAUUGUGAAUUUUUUUGUUUAUGUAA